AAGACUUGYSUUCAGUUCUCGUGACUGCGUGCCUUUUGAAGAAUGAGCCUGCGAGUUUGCGGUGUGUUGCGAGGUUAACCCGUGUGGGGAAGCCGUAGCGAAAGCGAGUCCGAAUAGGGCGGUAUAGUAGCGCGCUCAAGACCCGAAGCGGAGUGAUCUAGCCAUGGGCAGGUUGAAGCGGAGGUAAGACUUCGUGGAGGACCGAACCCACCAGGGUUGAAAACCUGGGGGAUGACCUGUGGUUAGGGGUGAAAGGCCAAUCAAACUCCGUGAUAGCUGGUUCUCCCCGAAAUGCAUUUAGGUGCAGCGUCGUGUGUUUCUUGCCGGAGGUAGAGCACUGGAUGGKCUAGGGGCCCUACAAGGUUACYGAAAUCAGCCAAACUCCGAAUGCCGGUAAGUGAGAGCGCGGCAGUGAGACUGCGGGGGAUAAGCUUCGUAGUCGAGAGGGAAACAGCCCAGAUCACCAGCUAAGGCCCCUAAGCGUGUGCUAAGUGGAAAAGGAUGUGGGGUCGCUUAGACAACCAGGAGGUUGGCUUAGAAGCAGCCACCCUUUAAAGAGUGCGUAAUAGCUCACUGGUCAAGUGGUUCCGCGCCGACAAUGUAGCGGGGCUCAAGUACACCGCCGAAGCUGUGGCAUUCACACAUGAACCCGGCUGCAGAUCUUUGGGUUGKGGUCYAGGUGUGUGGRUGGGUAGGGGAGCGUCGUGCAGCGAGUGAAGCAGCGGGGUGACCCAGCUGUGGACGYGGUACGAGUGAGAAUGCAGGCAUGAGUAGCGARAGAAGGGUGAGAAACCCUUCCGCCGGAUGACCAAGGGUUCCAGGGCCAGGCUAUUCCGCCCUGGGUGAGUCGGGGCCUAAGGCGAGGCCGAGAGGCGUAGUCGAUGGAUAACGGGUUGAUAUUCCCGUACCCGCGAAGGAGCGACCAUGAUGAACCUAUCUGUGCUAACUGUCCGCUCAGGGGGAUCCUUCGGGUGAACCGGAAAGUGCACAGGAACCUGGGUGGUAGUAGUCAAGCGAUGGGGUGACGCAGGAAGGUAGCUGAUCCCGGCCGGUGGUUGUGCCGGGGUAAGCGUGUAGGCCGGUGCUGUAGGCAAAUCCGCAGCACCAUUUGGGCUGAGACGUGAUGCCGAGCCGAUUCAGGUGAAGUCAGUGAUCCUAUGCUGCCGAGAAAAGCCUCUAGCGAGUUCCGAGCGGCCCGUACCCUAAACCGACACAGGUGGUCAGGUAGAGAAUACCGAGGCGUUCGGGUGAACUGUGGUUAAGGAACUCGGCAAAUUGCCCCGUAACUUMGGGAGAAGGGGGGCCAUCACCGGUGAUGACAUUUACUGUCUGAGCUGGGGGUGGCCGCAGAGACCAGCGAGAAGCGACUGUUUACUAAAAACACAGGUCCGUGCGAAGCCGUAAGGCGAUGUAUACGGACUGACGCCUGCCCGGUGCUGGAACGUUAAGGGGMCGGUUAGUGCACUYUUCGGGGUGUGCGAAGACUGAGAACUUAAGCGCCAGUAAACGGCGGUGGUAACUAUAACCAUCCUAAGGUAGCGAAAUUCCUUGUCGGGUAAGUUCCGACCUGCACGAAUGGCGUAACGACUUCUCGACUGUCUCAACCACAGGCCCGGCGAAAUUGCAYUACGAGUAAAGAUGCUCGUUACGCGCGGCAGGACGGAAAGACCCCGGGACCKUUACUAUAGCUGUGACAUUGGUAUCCGAGUUCGAUUGUGUAGGAUAGGUGGGAGACUGUGAAGCUGGCACGCCAGUGUCGGUGGAGUCAUUGUUGAAAUCCACUCUGUUGGAUUUGGGUAUCUAACCCGGGCCCUGAUCGGGGUUGGGACAGUGUCUGGUGGUGUUUAACUGGGCGUUGCCUCUAAGGUACGAGCGCCAAAGGUUCCUCAGCCUG
rnacentral:rRNA from 1 species